CUCUCUCUCUCUCUCUCUCUCUCUCUCUCUCUCUCUCUCUGAUGCAACCCUCUUAUGGUUACUCCGUGUGUUACAGAUGAUGCAUCAAAAGUCGGGCUUCUCAAGUCCCUUCCUCAUGCGGACACCAAAUUGUUGCUGUUCCAAGCUGACAUAUAUGACCCUCAAGAGUUUGAGCAUGCCAUUGAAGGCUGUGAGUUUGUUUUCCAUGUUGCCACUCCGAUGCAGCAUAACAACCUAAGCUCUCAGGUCAGACACUAGUGCUGUUUUAGGUAGACAGCAAAUAGGAUUGAACUAUUUUGUCCAAUCCAUUCUAGUCUCAUCAUGAACAAUAAUUUGAUUCAAUCUGGCGCGACAAACGAAGGGUUAGUUAUAAUUUGAGGAUUUUGAUUAUGCAGUACAAGGACACAGCUGAAGCUGCUGUUGCUGGGGUGAGAAUCAUUGCUGAUUCCUGCAUUCGUUCGCAGACCGUCAAGCGACUCAUCUACACUGCAAGCGUACUAGCUGCGUCGCCUCGGACAGAAGAUGGGGCUGGAUUCAAAGCCUACCUUGAUGAAUCAUGUUGGACACCUCUUGAUGUCUCAUUUCCCCAUGGCACUGAUUUCACAAUGGUUCCUCUUCUACUUGCUCUUACAUUAUUCAUUCUGCGAUAUAUCAAUUUCGCUGCAAUAAUUAACAUCGAAUAAUUACGUUUGAUUUUAAUCUGGAAAUGUGCUCAAGGGGUAUAUCGUAUCAAAGACAUUAGCAGAGAACGCAGUGCUGAGCUACAACGUAAUUGAUGGUGGUAAAUUAGAAGUGGUAACUCUUCCUUGUGGCCUAGUAGGAGGAGAAACUCUUCUGCUGAUUUUGCCUCCAACUGUGGGAGUAGUUUUAUCACAACUUACCGGGGACUCGAACCGUUACAAUUCAUUAAAAUUCAUGCAAGAAGUUAUCGGUUCUGUUCCUCUAGUACACAUUGAAGAUGUUUGCCGAGCACAUAUCUUCUGUAUGGAACAACCGUCGAUGAGAGGCAGAUUCUGCUGUGCAGUUGCCAGUCCAAGUAUCAAAGAAAUCGCUGCCUGCUUCCAAGAAAACUACCCGGAAUACAAGAUAGCAAAAGAGUAAGGAUCGAACUUUUAACUUUAAUCGUUCUGAAACUUCUCCCUACUUUUGAACAUUGAACUCGACGAAUAUUAUCCAUUUUCAUUCACGACUGAAUUCAUUUCAGAUUCACCGAAGGACCAGAAGGAGGAAUCAAAUGUGACUUUACUAAGCUGGUGAAGAUCGGUUUUGAGUACAAGUAUGGCAUGAAGAACAUACUUGAUGACAGUGUAGUAAGUGGAAGGAGGUUAUCAAAGAGCUCUCUUUCUCAACUGAUUUAAUUUUCAGACUGCAGAAACAAGAACAUCAUAUUACAAACGCCGGUGUAAUCGUGUUUUUGUUUUUAGGCUCUGCAUAUUCUAGUAUUGUGAGAGAUCCUCACUUAUUGAAUAAACAAAAUCUUGCAUACUCAUUAGCAUAACUAUUUCAGAAUUGUAUGUGUUAAGACAAAUUCAUUCAGUCCAGUGUAAAUUUAAAAAACAAUUCAAUCCAUCUCACCCGUUUUCUCGGUUUUUCAUACAUUGAAGGAGAAGAUCCUCUUUCAAAAAUAUAUUUGCCUUUUGCAGCUGCGAAGGUGGAAAAAAACACAGUGAUGACUACAAGCAGAAGAAGCAAGCAAAUUUUGGAGACGAAACACUUUGGUUUCCCGUUGUUGGAAUAAAGGUUCGGUUUCGAGGUUUAAUGGUGAAGAACACAAAAGUUAAGGGACUAUAAAUAACCAGUUUGAAACAAGGUUCUCAAGCAAGAAGAACUCAGUGAAGACACAACUACACUUCAUUGGUUGACUAACCUUAACCUACUCCCUGUGUUUUAAGGACCGUCCGUACAGAAAUGCGAAAGGCUGCCAUAAAGACGCGUUUACUUCUAAGUUUUGCUUCGAACUUGUUCAUAUGAUUUUAUUAUCAAGGGAAAUGUGGGUGCAAAAGUUAAGGGUUAAUGGAUCCUAAAAACUAGCCACUUCCCAUGCAUCCUAAAAAUAAACGAGUGGAGAUAAAAUAAAGCAACGUGUAUCAGUCACUACUAAGGAACAUGGAGUGAGAUAAAGAGACUUGGAGCCCAAGUUUUUAAUACCUAUAAAAGGCCUAAAGUCCCAUUAGAACUGGGGAAGAAAAAGCAAAGAAAAAGGGAAGUAUCAGACCGCUUUACAAAUUCUUGAAAUCAUUUUGAACAAAGACUGACUUGAGCAUCAGAGUGUUUUCUUAUAGUUCACCCUCCUCCCUUAUUGACGGUGAGUGAAGCUAGUGUUGUGGGCUUCUCAACAUGGUUACAAGAUUUAAUAGUUGGAGGAUCCGAAUUAUUCCACUCCAAUAGAAAUGUUUGUAAACAAAACUCACAUCAACGCAUGAUAACCAAAAAACACAUCAUCAAGUAAUCAGGCCACAAACUUAUGCCAAUUAACUGACACGCAAGGUCAUAUUAAACGCAUAUCAAGUUCCAAACUUGUAAUCCAACAAUAGAGAGCUUCUUAUCACCAAUAUAACGACCAAGACUCUCCCCAGAAAAAGGCCAACAAAAGUACUUCUGACAACUUUAAAGUUUUUCGCUUCCGAAGUUGUCUGACAACGGCAAACACACCACCCAAAAAGGACAAGUUAGCAACUUACCAGUACCUCAUAGUAACCCAUCAAAUUUGAUAGUUUUAAAACACAGAACUCAUAUCAAGGGAUUAUCAUUAUGAAAUCCUGGGUUAAACCCUGACUCGGAUGGAAGGGUCUCAUUGGAUAAGAUUGCACAACUUUCAGGUCACAAAGGCGAGUUAUGAAUAAAACUAUCGAAAAUGUUAUCAAUCAAUUAGUUUGGAACGCAAAUUGAUAUUGUGUAUGUUGGGGGUAUACGACUGUAGAGGCUUAAGAGGGCAAGAUGUGUUUUUCCUCAGAGAGAAAGGCUAUGAACAUUCCUAAAUGAUUGAUUUCUUCAUGUUGUGAUUAUUGGAGUAUAACCCUUCAGCCGAUACUUGGUGGCAAAGAAACAAGUUCAAAUGGUUAUUUUUAGAUUUGUUCUUGGUUUAAAUUAGAGCCGUUGGAUCAUAGUCCAUGUGGUUGCUCUUGCUUGUAUCUAGAUUAAGUGAUAGAUUAUAACAAGUGGCAUCAUCUGAUAGGGUGAUAGCAAUUAAGGGCUGAGAUUAGUUUUGUUGUUGUUGAGUGAAGAAUCUCCCUUUCUCUUCCUAUUCUAACGGUAACAACCUCACAUAUUUGUUGUGAGGAUAUUGCAAUCAUACAUACAUCAUUCUCUCCGAUUCUCUCUUUGCCACUACUGGAUUUCCCAUGUCACCACCAAGCUUUCAUUGAAGCUUAUCGAAAUUAUCCAUACACUAACAUGGCCUCAGAGCCAGGUUUCAUCGUUUAAACUGCGCAUGAAUUUGUGCAAACACCCUAUGAGUGAUUGAGUUGCGAUAAACUAUAUUCAUCAAACCCGAAAACCCCAAACAUCAUGCUUGUGGGAGAUAUCAAGAACCAACAUCAUCAAUGUUUUAUUCAAUACUCUUAUUUUUAUAUUCUACAAAAUUCGUUCAUGGAAUCGUUUUAUUUAUCAAAUAUUCCAAGUUUGUCAUCCUUUUCUUUUUCAUUGGACCAAUUUAUCAUAUUGCCUUAUCACGAACAACUUCAAAAAUAUUGUUACGUUUUUUAUUAUUGGACGUGGCUAUUUAAUGACGAAAUUAGUAGUUACUAAAUUGUAGUGCGUUAAUUGAAUGAAUAUAAUUUUUUGUUUUUGACAAAGAUGGAUAUAAUCGUGGACCGAUGGAAAAUCCGUUACCCGGUGGGUAUGGUUAUAUAUGGAUAAUCCCCUAUGAUUGAUUUGUGGUUAUGAAUAUGAUUAAUUUUUGUGGUUAUGGGGAUGAAUAUAGCAUUUCUAUCCUCAAACCGAACUGUAACCAUCCCAAGUUGGUUAUAAGAGGGGCAACAAAUCCUGCUCACACGUUUAUUAGACGACAUCUUCUGCUCUUAUCUUUGUGUGGAACAAAAUCAUGGAGAACAAAAACUCUAGAGUUUGUGUUACAGGUGCUUCUGGAUUCAUUGCCUCUUCACUCGUUAACAAGCUCCUACAGCAGGGCCACACAGUCCACGCCACCCUCAGGAACUUGGGUCUCUCUCCCUCCCUCUCUCUCUCUCUCUCUCUCUCUCUCUCUCCCUGAUGCCACCCUCUUACGGUUACUCCGUAUGUUACAGAUGAUGCGUCGAAAGUUGGGCUUCUCAAGUCCCUUCCUAAUGCGGACACCAACUUGUUGCUGUUCCAAGCUGACCUAUAUGACCCUCUAGAGUUUGAGCCUGCCAUGGAAGGCUGUGAGUUUGUUUUCCAUGUUGCCACUCCGAUGCAGCAUAACAACCUAAGCUCUCAGGUCAGACACUAGUGCUGUUUUAGGUAGAUAGCAAGUAGAAUUGAACUAUUUUGUCCAAUCCAUUCUAGUCUCAUCAUGAACAAUAAUUUGAUUCAAUCCUGCACGACAAACGAAGUGUUAGUUACAUAGGGGGCACUGAGUGGGAGCGAAAUGUGCAGUCGUAUAAGGCCCCAAAUUUGAAGGGCCCCCAAAAUUUUUGUCAUCUAAUCUAAUAUUUAUAUGUAAUAAUGUUCUAUAUUUAAAAAUUACUUUUGUUAUGUAAUAACGUUAAAUAUUUAAAAAUUAUUUUUGUUAGCACUUUAAAAUUUCAUUAUAUAUAAGCAUAUUUUUUUUUACUUUCUAACACCUUAAAAAUGGUAUUUUUUUACAAUUUUAUUAUAUAAUAAUGUUAUAUAUUCAAGUGAAACUUUAAAGUUAGAAAUUUUUAAAUUUUUUUUCCUUGUUUGGUUGUUUAAGAUUGAACUGCUUUUAAUUAUUUAGUGAACGUUAUAUUUAUAGCUCUUUUUACUUAUUAUUAAUGACAUUUUUAAACUUGCAAUCAGUGAGUACUAAACUUUAUUUUGAUUUAAGUGAUUAUUUUCUAGCAUCAUUACAUUGUCCUACAUUAAAAAAAAACUAAUGAAAAUGGCUUGAAAACUUUGAGUUUUAAUGAUAAUGACAAAAUAAAGGGUAAAAUGAAUAGUAGCAGGUUUGACUUUUUAGUGUAAAAAUGUGUUUUUUCGUUAAAAUGAACAGUACCACGGCCUUUUUGUUAAAACUCAAUUUUUAAAACUAUCUUAAGAGGGGCUUUCAUAAAUUUCGUAUAGGGCCUCCAAAAUCUGAGAGACGGCCCUAGUUAGUUAUAAUUUGAGGAUUGUGAUUAUGCAGUACAAGGACACAGCUGAAGCUGCUGUUGCUGGGGUGAGAAUCAUUGCUGAUUCCUGCAUUCGUUCGCAGACCGUCAAGCGACUCAUCUACACUGCAAGCGUACUAGCUGCGUCGCCUCGGACAGAAGAUGGGGCUGGAUUCAAACCCUACUUUGAUGAAUCAUGUUGGACACCCCUUGAUGUCUCAUUUCCUCAUGGCACUGAUUUCACAAUGGUACCUCUUCUACUUGCUCUUACAUUAUUCAUUCCACGAUAUAUCAAUUUCGCUGCAAUAAUUAACAUCGAAUAAUUACGUUUGAUUUUUAAUCUGGAAAUGUGCUCAAGGGGUAUAUCGUAUCAAAGACAUUAGCAGAGAAAGCAGUGCUGAGCUAUAACGACAUUGAUGGUGGUAAAUUAGAAGCAGUGACUCUUCCUUGUGGCCUAGUAGGAGGAGAAACGCUUCUCCCAAAUUCGCCUCUAAGUGUGGGAGUAGUUAUAUCACAACUUACCGGGGACUUGAAUGGUUACAAUGCAUUAAAAUUCAUGCAAGAAGUUAUCGGUUCUGUUCCUCUUGUACACAUUGAAGAUGUUUGCCGAGGACAUAUCUUCUGCAUGGAACAACCAUCGAUGAGAGGCAGAUUCUGCUGUGCAGUUGCCAGUCCUAGUAUCAAAGAAAUCGCUGCCUUCUUCCAAGAAAACUACCCGGAAUACAAGAUAGCAAAAGAGUAAGGAUCCAACUUUUAACUGUAAUCGUUCUGAAACUUCUCCCUACUUUUAAAAUUGAACUCCACGAAGAUUAUCCAUUUUCAUUCACGACUGAAUUUAUUUCAGAUUCGCCGAAGGACCAGAAGAAGGAAUCAAAUGUGACUUUACUAAGCUGGUGAAGAUCGGUUUUGAGUACAAGUAUGGCGUGAAGAACAUACUUGAUGACAGUGUAGCAAGUGGAAGGAGGUUAUCAGAGAGCUCUCUUUCUCAACUGAUUUAAUUUUCAGACUGCAGAAACAAAAACAUCAUAUUACAAACGCUGGUGUAAUCGUGUUUUCGUUGUUAGGCUCUGCAUAUUCUAGUAUUGUGAGAGAUCCUCACUUAUUGAAUAAACAAAAUCUUGUAUACUCAUUAGCAUAACUAUUUCAGAAUUGUAUGUGUUAAGACAAAUUCAUUCAGUCUAGUGUAAAUUUAAAAAACAAAUCAAUCCAUCUCACCCGUUUUCUCGGUUUUCAUACAUUGAAUGAGAGGAUCCUCUUUCAAAAAUAUAUUUGCCUUUUGCAGCUGCAAAAGUGUAAAAAAAACACAGUGAUGACUACAAGCAGAAAGAAUUAAGCAAAUUUUGGAGACAAAAUACUUCGGUUUCCCGUUGUUGGGGUCAGUGGCAGAUCUAGGAAUUUAAGGUCGGGUGGUCCCAAUAUAAUAUUAAAAAAUUAAUCCGUAAACUACAACUUUUCAUUCAUAAUUUUUGUACUAACAACAUUACGAGCAACAAAGAUUAAAUUUGUUUAUGAUAAAGUGUCAUACCUAAAAAUGUGUCAUGAUAUUCAGGGUCUCUGAAGAUUGGAAAGGUGAUUGGUGUUGGCUGGUGGUGCCUUCGGUUGGGUGGGAUGGGGAUUGGGGAAUGGCCCGAUGGGAAGCAAUUAAUGGGUUAUAAGAAGAUUUGGGAAAAUGGGCUCUUUUGAAAGUAAAGCCCCUACGAAACUUAGCCUCCCACGUGACUUAGAGAUUGUUUUCAAACCCAUAACAAACUGCACUGUUUCACUCAAAUGGCUUGGGUAAAACGACUUCGUCAAGCCAAGUCAUUUGAAAAGGAAUAAUCAAUCUUCUUUUUCUUUUCCUUCUGGUUUGUUGAAUUCCAGAAAAGAGUGCAGCAGUUGCUCAUCUCCGCUCUUAUCUGCCCAGACUUGGGUGGUCAUCGAAGGUCUUCACAGCUACUUAUCCGAGCUUUUGGGUGGUCCUAGGACCACCUAGGUCCUUUAAUAGAUCACCCUGGUGGGGUAAAGGUUCGAUUUCAAAGUCUUUUAAUGGUGAAGAACAUAAAGUUAAGGGACUAUAAAUAACCAAUUUGAAACAAGGUUCUCAAGCAAGAAGAACUCAGUGAAGACACAACUGCACGAUACUAGUUAACUGACCUCAACCUACUCCCUGUGUUUUAAGGCCAGUCCGUACAGAAAUGUGAACGGCUGCCAUAAAGAUACAUUUAUUUCUAAGUUUUGCUUCAAACUUGUUCAUAUAAUUUUAUUUCUAAGUUUUGCUUCAAAAAUUAAGGGUCAAUGAAUCCUAAAAACUAGCCACUUCCCAUGCAUCCUAAAAAUAAGCAAAUGGAGAUAAAAUAAAGCAACGUGAAUCAGCGACUACUAAGGAACAUGGAGUGAGAUAUAGAGACUUGGAGCCUGACAUGCCCCGAUCCCGAUGUUCCCCGAACACCAGGGUAGGUACGUGUUGGCUAACACUCGAGGGUGACGAAAGUCAUUAUUUAAAACAUGAGAACUAAAAUAUGAAUAAGAUAAGAGAAAUUUAAAUAUAAUUAAUAUGCAAAUGAGGAACGUGUUCAGAACAUACAACUAACUAGAGCACUAAAAGAAAUAAUAUAAAAUUGAAUGAAUAGAAGAAUGGGUCCUACAUUGAGAGGACUCGAAGAUGCCGAUGCAGAAGUGACUUGACACUGGAAUUGUACGCCUCAAUUCUAAAUCCUGAGGGGGUGCAAAACAAACAUAAGUGGACCAAGUUGAUAUAUAUAUAUAUAUAUAUAAUAAAAUAGUUAUUUAACGUACUAACCCCCAAAGUUUUACGAAAAUUCAAUAGUAUAAUAUGUAAUAGGUUUUCCGAAAACCCUAGCAUGCCAUAAAACCUUUCAUAAAACAUAUCUCAUAUAUAGUGUGUUAACUAAUGGUAUCAGUAUCGCCCAAAGGCAUAUAGAACUCUUCUUUCAGAAACUUCCUUCACAAGUAUCAAUCACCCGUAGGCUCCUACAACACCCAACCCGAAGGUCAAUAUAAACAUCAAUCGCCCGAAGGCUCCUACAACACCUAACCCGAAGGUCAAUAUAAGUGACCACUAGAUAAGCACAAAACCACUGAAAAUAAUCUUUCCAAACGUAAGUACAUAUAUCUUAAAAGCAUCUUCAUAGUAUAAAGUCAUCCAUCAUCUAUACUAUAAAUAAGUGUGUAAAAACAUGCUCUAAAUAGUACAUUGUCAUCCAUCAGAUAUCCUACAAAGAACAUGGGGUUUGAUAGAAAAUAUGGUAUUCCAAAAUAUUCUAAGUAAGCAUGAUAAUCAUAUAAGGUAAAUCCAAUUUACUCAUAAAACGUUAUCUAAAACGUGAUCAUUAAAUCAUGCUUUUCAUGUAUGCAUUUCUACUAAUAAAACAUGCAUUUUAGAAGGGGUCCACUCACAAAUACUUUGUUGUCAAAAAGCCACGCAAACUAGCGAAGACAUAACGCCACAAACAAUUGCCCCUAAGAACAUAAAGGGUACAAAUAAUAAAACUUUAUUCAAACGAUUGAAUUUGGGAAAAUGAAUGUCAAAAAUAGAUUCAGGAUGUCGAAUUACCCUAAGAAGGGUCUCGGGUAAAUUUCAUAAAAGUCAACACAGGGAAUAUUCCAGAGAAUAUUCCCUGACGAAAUGUUCCCUAAUAGAAUAUUCCCUAAUGGAAUAUUCCCCAUAAAAUGUUUGGGCCGGUUAAGGUUUAGGGUUUGAAAGGUUAAAGGGUUUAGUGGGCCAAAGGCCCUAGAUUACAAGGGUUUGGAUUAGGCUUUUAAAAAAGUUGGGCUUUAAGAGUUUGGGUUUAGUUUCAAACAAAUAAAAUAAAUAAAAGGGGUUCGGGCUUUGGGGGUUACGGGCCUAAGGCCCGAGUUCUAAAUGGCCCAAAGGCUUAACCAAACAUUUGUAACUUUGAAAAGAUAAAUGUAAUAUAGGGUAAUUCAAAAUACUUAUAUUGAAAACCAAAACUGAAAAUGGAAGUGGGUCUCGCCCAAACACACGUAACGUCACGUACUCCAAGAAAAUAAUUGUCUUUGGGUUGAGCCCCAACAAUAGCGAAUAUGUAACAACUACCAUAGAUGGGUCUUCCUACCCACUUGCUUAACGAACCCAACAAAUAAGUUAUCAACACAACAAUCGGCCGUCCGCGAUAUCGACCACAUAUUUGUUGUCUCGAUAAGCAAGCAGUAAUUUCCUGAUGGUGCACAAUUUCACAUGUCGUAAAUUCGAUCCUCUGAAUACCAGUUCACAAUACUUCUCUAUCAACCAGUGUUGCCUGUAGAAAACUUUCGUAACAUGUCGCAAAAGUGCCAUACCAAAACUGAACAAAAUAAGAAUUGUCAUCGUAACAACUCCAUUCUCCUCAAUUCUUCCAAAUGUGACCAACUACUCCAAUGCUUUGCCAACAAAGAACCCAUUUGAAAACUGUACCUUGGGAUUCAAGAGAAGUGACUACCAUGUUAAUAGUAGACCCAAAAACUUGAGCCAAGCAAGAAGAAAAUGAAAAGACACCUUCCUCAACAAGCAGUAUCUCUUGGGAGCUGUUGUAAUGCUCAAUCCACCUCUCCAUUUUUGCUUAGUUGUAGAUUCCUAGUCAAACAAGGUCAAAGUUCGUGGAAGGACAAAGGACUCUCAAUUCAUCAACCUAAAAACCCUAUGAGAGCACACACCAUUUGAGAGCAGUGUAAAUUCUACAUGUGCUUAAGCCACAAGACGAGUGAACACAACGCGUCCUCCAAAGUCUAGAUAGUUCACGAAUGGUACCCUCAAAAAAUAUUCGAGCAAUGAACUUAUAUCAUUGGGACAGAACUACUAAAGUAUGAUUUGAUGCUUAUGAAUUGCAGUAGGAUAAUGAGUGGUGACUAUUCAAUUCAGCAUGAAGAUAGUGAUGCAAUCUGUAGACCACCUGCACUACAACCUUCAUCAAUGUCUUACUAAAAGACGGCUUAAACCUCACACCUACAUGUAACUCUUUCUGGUAAGUAUGGUAAACUUGUGGAAAGGUUAUGCUCCUAAUGUUCUUGUCUAAAUCGAUAAGAACUAAAAGCGUGCUUCAGCCGAGUCGAUCGAUCAUGAAUUCCUCACUGAUUGUGAGAGAAACCAUGUCAAGAACGCUAAAAGAAUACUCAAGAAUUUGAGGGUCAAAACAAGUCCAUUAAAAUCUAGACUGUAAUGUUCGGGCAUGAUCCCGUAAUAAAAAUAGAAGUCACUGUUUAUGAUUAUUUUGGUUAAUCAUCUUAGUAAGGUUGAUUGAUUUCUUAGCCAAAAAGGACAUAGGUCUAAGCUCAAAGAAUAGUUAAUAACUGCUAAUAAGAUUUGACGAGGCCAAAGACAUUUCGUAAUUCACAAUACUGUGUGUGAGCUGUUUCAAAGGUCAAAAUUUAAACAUAGAACCUUUAAAUCAACAGAAUGACGAAGAAGAAAGAUACAAAACAGUAUGCGCAUGCAUGCAGUGGCAUGAUUGGCUACCUUAAAGUGAUGCCCUUGAGCAAACCAAAGCUCAAUGAGUCCAGAGAAGUUCAGAGCAAAGCUCAAUCUUCCUACAAUGAUGAAUAUGGUGGAGUCUCAAGCCAUUACAUUGAAAAUUACAAGGCUAAACAGUUAGUGGACAAGAGCACUGGUCAAUUAGGCUACAAGCAAGAGGCUAAGUUCACCUCUAUUUAAAAGUACGUGGACAAGGAGCCAGGGUUUACUGCCAAGUACCAGAUCCAGGUGAAGUUCAAGGAGUCUGUUUAUCCAACCAAGACUAGAUCUUCAUCAUCCAAGUCCAACUACAACCACAACAAGAAUUGCAACUUCUUUUAGAAAUUGGUGAGAAUAGCGUAUGCUAUCUAGGAGUUUCCCAAGAAAAGUAUUUAACGUAAAUGAAGUCAACGCUCAAAGGAUUUGGUGUGAAGCUGACAGUCAAUGGUUAAGGAACUUGACUUCGUCGUUGGAGUAAGCAAGGAAGUUAUCGAUAGAACAAUAGCCGAGAAUUGUUCUAAAGAUCCACACAAAUUUCUUCAGUGGGAAUGAGUCCGAGAACAUGGAUUCGAUCCCACCAAUUACCACUUACUAAACUUCAUAAUAACUAGCGUUGACUUGCUUUCUCUAACCUGCAUUUCGAAAGUUUCAAGUAAAUUCCAAAAAGAUAUGACUAUUGAUGAGUAGAUUUUAUAUUAUAUAUUUUACCCUAAUCUUAGUAUAUUUUGGUUAAUAUAUUGGAAGAAUUUUGAUACUUUGAAUUGUAUUUUCAAUAUAAGACUUUCGACUUCCUCUGGAGCAAAACAGGACCAAAUGGACGAAUUUUGGAGUAAUUCCAGUUGGAGGACGUUCGUGAGUCACUUAGCUUGAUCGUAUCAAAAUUUGGGAUUUUUCCACCAAGCAGUUAUUUUCUGGCGAUGAAAUAAAGAAGCAGUGCGCAGUGCUGGAAAAUGACGUUUUUGGAGCCCAAGAUGACCUCGGAUGGGUUCGUGGCCUUCUGGAAAAGUGUUCAGAAUAUUUCAAACAUCAAAUCCAGCUAUAUUGGGCCAGUUUUGGAGCAGCUUAUGGGCCAAAACGUGGUUGUUCAGAUUUUAGAUGAAUUUUGCUAUUUUUAUUUAGGGUUUUUAUUAAUUUUAGUUUGCUAGGGUUUGUGUGGAGGCUUAGCAAAUAUAUUGCUAGGCCGUCUACAGUUUUGAGGACGCUUUAUUUUAUGCAAUAUUGGAGACAGAGAGAAGUGCUAGGGUUUUGAAGAUUUUCUACUUGAAGGUGUUUUCAAUCCUUUUCUUAAGAGAUAUUUCUAUGAUUUCAAUUAUGAAUAUGCGGAACUAAUUUCUUUUGCUAGGGCGAAGCCUUGAGCCUUAGCAUGAAUAUGUUUGAUUUUAUUUAAUUGCUUAUGAUCGAUUGCAUGCGUACUUUGUUAAUAAUCACCGGGAUAAAAACUAUCUAAUUGUCGUAAUACCUGAUCACCAUUAGGAUCUUUAGAAAAGUAAUUUGAUGCAAUUUUUGGUCGGAAGGUUCCCUAAAAAUUGACGCUGGCUUCUUGUGAUUAAUAAUUUGUAAUUUCUCUUAGGAGAUAUCACGUCUUAAGGAUUGCAUGGUUUUUUCAAAGGAUUUUCAAUAAAGCAUAAUGAGUCUUUCAUGUUUAGAUUUGAUCCGAACGUCCGGACGGAUUGCAUGUUAGAUAUACGUUCUAUGUUGGAGGUUCCAAGUAGAAUAUGAAUUAGGAAAAUCUAACCUUCAAAGUGGCAUGUGUAGAUCAUAAGUAAUUGGUAAAAAUUCAUAGGAUUGCUAGGUGAUGGUGGAACCCUAGUGCUUUCUUAAUUUUAUUCUCCCAAAACUGUUUUCUUUCUCUCGAGCUCUAAUAUUGCAGAUUGUUUAUUUUAAUUCAUUAAUUUCGUUUUUAUUUUAAUUAGGUUUUAAAAUCAAUCACUUCAAUUUCUACUUUACAAUAAUUAAAUGGAAUCUGAUUAGUUCGAAUUAUUUAAUAAUCCCUGUGGAGAUGACCUUGCGAAAUCCGUUUAUACUACAACAACCUUGUGAUUCUUGCAAGUAAAAUAGGAGAUUUAAACCCGUUCACAUGAAUAGUAAAAAUCCCUAUCAACUAUGCCUGCCAUUCCUAGGGAAUGCAUGUCGCAGAGUGACACCACCUAUUCAAAUUUUCCAAAUUCAAACCACUUAGGUUAUUCCGUUUCCCAAAAACUUCUAUGUAGAACCGACUCCGACCGUAAUUCCUAAGGAAUUCAUGUUGCAGAGUAUCGAUCCGAUGUCGAAAGUUGUCUAACAAUCCAUUACAUCAUCGAUGAGGCACAAUCUCGACACGAAUUUUCUUUUUCUUUAAUACGAUGGGACUAUUCAUGCAGUAUGAAAGUUGCACAACUGUGCCGAAAGACAACAAAUCCGGAAGUUAUGACAUCCAAAUGAUGUCAAAACAGACACACUACUAGAGUAAGAAAAGAUCCUAAGUAUGCUCUGAACAAACCACGUUCUGAUACCAAUCUAACAUGCCCCGAUCCCGAUAUUCCCCGAACAUCAGGAUAGACACGUGUUGGUCGACACCCAAGGGUGACGAAAGCCAUUUAUUGAAUGAAAAUGUUGAGAACAAGAAAUAAAUAAGACUUAUAAAUUUAAAUAUAAUUAAUAUACGAAUGAGGAACGUGUUCAGAGUAUACAACUAACUAGAACACUAAAAGAAAUAAUAUAAAAUUUGAAUGAACAAGGAAUGGGUCCUACACCGAGAGGACUCGAAGAUACCGAUGUGGAAGUGCCUUGACGCCGGGAUCAUACGCCUCGAAUCUAAAUCCUGAGGGGCGCAAAACAAACGUGAGUGACCCUUUCUAAAAUUCAUGUUUUAAUAGUAGAAAUGCAUAUAUGAAAAACAUGAUUUAAUGAUUACGUUUUAUGGAACGUUUUAUGAGAAAUUGAUUGUCAUGCUAUACUGAGUUUAUUUUGAAAUACCAUAUUUUCUAUUGAACCCAUGUUUUUUGUAAGAUAUUUGGUGGAUGACGAUAUACUAUUUAGAAUAUGUUUUUACACACUUUUUUAUAGUGUAGAUGAUGGAUGACUUUAUACUAUGAAGAUGCUUUUGAGAUAUAUGUACCUAUGUUUGGAAAGACUAUAUUCAAUGUUUUGUGCAUAUCUAGUGGUCCCUAUUAUUGACCUUCGGGUUGGGUGCUAUAGGAGCCUUUAGACGAUUGAUACUUAUAUUGACCUUCGGGUUGGGUGUUGUAGGAACCUGUGGGCGAUUGAUACUUAUGAAGGAAGUGUUCUGAAGAAAGAGUUCUAUGUUCUGCCUUCGGACGAUUAUGAUACCACUAGCUAGCACAUAAUAUACGAUUUAUGAUUUAUGAAAGGUUUUAUGGCAUGCUAGGGUUUUCGGAAAAACCUACUACAUAUUAUGUUAUUGAGUUUUCAUAAAACUUUGGGGGUUAGUAUGUUGAGAACUAUUUCAGCAUUUUAUAUAUAUCACCUUAGUCCACUCAUGUUUGUUUUGCGCCCCCUCAGGAUUUAGAUUCAAGGCGUACGAUCCCCGGGUCAAGGCACUUCUGCAUCGGCAUCUUCAAGUCAUCUCGAUGUAUGACCCAUUCCUUGUUCAUUCAAUUUUUAUAUUAUUUCUUUUAGUGUUCUAGUUAGUUGUAUGCUUAGAACACGUUCCUCAUUCGUAUAUUAAUUAUAUUUAAAUUUAUAAGUCUUAUUUAUUUCUUGUUCUCAGCAUUUGGAUUCAAUAAAUGGCUUUCGUCACCCUUGGAUGUCGGCCAACACAUGUCUAUCCUGGUGUUCGAGUAAUAUGGUGAUCGGAGUGUGUCAAAGCUCAAGUUUUUUUUUUAUAUAAAAGGCCUAAACUCCCAUUAGAACAGGGGAAGAAAAAGGGAAGUAUCAGAUCACUUUACAGUUUCCUGCAAUUAUUUUGAACAAAGACUAACUUGAGCACUGUAGUGUUUUUUUGUAGGUCCUCAUCCUCCCUUAUUGCCGGUGAGCGAAGCUGGUGUUGUGGGAUUCUCAACAUGGUUACAAGAUUUAUUAGUUGAGGAUUGGAGGAUCCGAAUUAUUCCACUCCAAUAGAAAUGUUUGUAAACAUAACUCACAUCAAUGCAUGAUAAAAAUAAAAAAUAAAAAGAAAAAAAAAAGAAAGAAAGAAAGAGUCUUAACGAAACACUCAUGGUACUAUUCACUUUUAACGUUAAGGACAUUUUUACUCUAAAAAGUCACUCUUAGUACUAUUCACUUACAACACCUUUUUAUCUUUUUGAUUAAAACUUAAAGUUUUUAAGCCCAUUUUCAUUAGUUUUCCUCCCAAAAAAAACCCAUCAUCAAGUAAUCAGGCCACGAACUUAUGUCAAUUAACUGAAAUGCAAAGUCAUAUUAAACGCAUAUCAAGUUCCAAACUUGUAAUUUCCAACAAUUGAGAGCUUCUUAUCACGAAGACAAAGACCAAGACUUUCCCCAGAAAAGGCCAACAAAAGUUCUUUUGUUUUCUUCUUCUGAUGCUUCUCCCUAUUUUUCCCUUAGGUAUGUCCUCUUUUUCAUCUUCCGUCGGUAUUCCUCUCCCCAUCUCUUCCUCAGUCCGAUCUUCAGCCAUAGUUCCUUUUCAGUUCGUGUGUAGAGUUGGGGUGUUGUUCCUGGCUCGGGUGUUUCCCACACCACCACGUUCUCCUUGCUGUCUGCCGUUUUCGGCAGUGUUGCUUGUGGGUUUCCCCGAGCUUCUUCCCAGUAGUUGGCUAAUCCCUCUUUGGUGCCAACUAUCACCUGUUAAUGGUUGUGAUCUAGUUGCUGUUUGGGGUUGGCGGUGGUGUCUGAGACGGAGUUGGUCAGUGAUGGAUGACAUUUCCUGUGGUUGGCCUAGAUCUCUGUCAGUGGAGGAGCUUUCAGUAGAAGCUUCUCAGUUGGCUGUUGUGUGUUUUUUUGGGUUUCACUGUUGUGGGGCCUCUUUCUUUUUUUCUGUUGGUUUUGGCCCUUUUCUGUUUGUGUAUAAUUGUAGUUGGGCCUUUGGUUUGCUUGUACUUUUAGGCUCGUUGUUUUAAUAAAAAUUGAAGGAGUUUUAACUGUAGUUUUACUAUAGUCAAACUUUUUUCCAAAAAAUAAAAAUAAAAAGAAGAAGAAAAAAAGUACUUCUGACAAUUUUAAAGUGUUUCUCUUCCGAAGUUGUCUGACAACGGGAAACACACCACCCAAAAAAGGACAAGUUAGCAAUUUAGCAGUCCCUUAUAGUAACCCAUCAACUUUGAAAGUUUUAAAACACAGAACUCAUAUCAAGGGAAUAUCAAAAUGGCAUCUUGGGUUAAACACUGACUCGGAUGGAAGGCUCUCAUUGGAGAAGAUUUCACUACUUUCAGGUCACAAAGGCGAGGUAUGAAUAAGACUAUCGAAAAUGUUUUCAAUCAAUUAGUUUGGAACGCAAAUUGAUAUUAUGUAUGUUGGGGGUAUACGACUGUAGAGGCUUAAGAGGGCAAGUUGUGUUUUCCCUCAGAGAGAAAGGCAAUGAACAUUGAACUCUCUCUCUCUCUCUCUUUAUGUUCCAAGCUGACCUAUAUGACCCUCAAGAGUUUGAGCCUGCCAUUGAAGGCUGUGAGUUUGUUUUCCAUGUUGCCACUCCGUUGCAGCAUAAUAACCUAAGCUCUCAGGUCAGACACUCGUGCUGUUUUAGGAAGAUAGCAAAUAGGAUUCGACUAUUUUGUCCAAUCCAUUCUAGUCUCAUCAAGAACAAUAAUUUGAUUCAAUCGUGCGCGACAAACGAAGGGAUAGUAAUAAUUUGAGUAUUUUGAUUAUGCAGUACAAGGACACAGGUGAAGCUGCUGUUGCUGGGGUGAGAAUCAUUGCUGAUUCCUGCAUUUGUUCGCAGACCGUCAAGCAACUCAUCUACACUGCAAGCAUACUAGCUGCAUCGCCUUGGACAGAAGAUGGGGCUGGAUUAAAACCCUACUUUGCUUAAUCAUGUUGGACACCCCUUGAUGUCUCAUUUCCUCAUGGCACUGAUUUCACAAUAGUACCUCUUCUACUUGCUCUUACGUUAUUUGUUCUACGAUAUAUCAAUUUCGCUACAAUAAUGAGCAUCGAAUAAUUACGUUUGAUCUUUAAUCUGGAAAUGUGUUAUAGGGGUAUAUCGUAUCAAAGACAUUAGCAGAGAAAGCAGUGCUGAGCUAUAACGACAUUGAUGGUGGUAAAUUAGAAGCGGUAACUCUUCCUUGUGGCCUAGUAGGAGGAGAAACUCUUCUCCCAAGUUCGCCUCGCUACUACAAAAGGGCCUUAUAAUGUCAAUAGGUGGCAUCAGUUUAAUAUAAUAUAGUGACGGAUAAGACAGUUGCGACACUAACUGAAG
rnacentral:lncRNA from 1 species